rnacentral:rRNA from 1 species
AGCGUACACGGUGGAUGCCCUGGCAGUCAGAGGCGAUGAAGGACGUGCUAAUCUGCGAUAAGCGUCGGUAAGGUGAUAUGAACCGUUAUAACCGGCGAUUUCCGAAUGGGGAAACCCAGUGUGUUUCGACACACUAUCAUUAACUGAAUCCAUAGGUUAAUGAGGCGAACCGGGGGAACUGAAACAUCUAAGUACCCCGAGGAAAAGAAAUCAACCGAGAUUCCCCCAGUAGCGGCGAGCGAACGGGGAGCAGCCCAGAGCCUGAAUCAGUGUGUGUGUUAGUGGAAGCGUCUGGAAAGGCGCGCGAUACAGGGUGACAGCCCCGUACACAAAAAUGCACAUGCUGUGAGCUCGAUGAGUAGGGCGGGACACGUGGUAUCCUGUCUGAAUAUGGGGGGACCAUCCUCCAAGGCUAAAUACUCCUGACUGACCGAUAGUGAACCAGUACCGUGAGGGAAAGGCGAAAAGAACCCCGGCGAGGGGAGUGAAAAAGAACCUGAAACCGUGUACGUACAAGCAGUGGGAGCACGCUUAGGCGUGUGACUGCGUACCUUUUGUAUAAUGGGUCAGCGACUUAUAUUCUGUAGCAAGGUUAACCGAAUAGGGGAGCCGAAGGGAAACCGAGUCUUAACUGGGCGUUAAGUUGCAGGGUAUAGACCCGAAACCCGGUGAUCUAGCCAUGGGCAGGUUGAAGGUUGGGUAACACUAACUGGAGGACCGAACCGACUAAUGUUGAAAAAUUAGCGGAUGACUUGUGGCUGGGGGUGAAAGGCCAAUCAAACCGGGAGAUAGCUGGUUCUCCCCGAAAGCUAUUUAGGUAGCGCCUCGUGAAUUCAUCUCCGGGGGUAGAGCACUGUUUCGGCAAGGGGGUCAUCCCGACUUACCAACCCGAUGCAAACUGCGAAUACCGGAGAAUGUUAUCACGGGAGACACACGGCGGGUGCUAACGUCCGUCGUGAAGAGGGAAACAACCCAGACCGCCAGCUAAGGUCCCAAAGUCAUGGUUAAGUGGGAAACGAUGUGGGAAGGCCCAGACAGCCAGGAUGUUGGCUUAGAAGCAGCCAUCAUUUAAAGAAAGCGUAAUAGCUCACUGGUCGAGUCGGCCUGCGCGGAAGAUGUAACGGGGCUAAACCAUGCACCGAAGCUGCGGCAGCGACACUAUGUGUUGUUGGGUAGGGGAGCGUUCUGUAAGCCUGUGAAGGUGUGCUGUGAGGCAUGCUGGAGGUAUCAGAAGUGCGAAUGCUGACAUAAGUAACGAUAAAGCGGGUGAAAAGCCCGCUCGCCGGAAGACCAAGGGUUCCUGUCCAACGUUAAUCGGGGCAGGGUGAGUCGACCCCUAAGGCGAGGCCGAAAGGCGUAGUCGAUGGGAAACAGGUUAAUAUUCCUGUACUUGGUGUUACUGCGAAGGGGGGACGGAGAAGGCUAUGUUGGCCGGGCGACGGUUGUCCCGGUUUAAGCGUGUAGGCUGGUUUUCCAGGCAAAUCCGGAAAAUCAAGGCUGAGGCGUGAUGACGAGGCACUACGGUGCUGAAGCAACAAAUGCCCUGCUUCCAGGAAAAGCCUCUAAGCAUCAGGUAACAUCAAAUCGUACCCCAAACCGACACAGGUGGUCAGGUAGAGAAUACCAAGGCGCUUGAGAGAACUCGGGUGAAGGAACUAGGCAAAAUGGUGCCGUAACUUCGGGAGAAGGCACGCUGAUAUGUAGGUGAAGCGACUUGCUCGUGGAGCUGAAAUCAGUCGAAGAUACCAGCUGGCUGCAACUGUUUAUUAAAAACACAGCACUGUGCAAACACGAAAGUGGACGUAUACGGUGUGACGCCUGCCCGGUGCCGGAAGGUUAAUUGAUGGGGUCAGCGCAAGCGAAGCUCUUGAUCGAAGCCCCGGUAAACGGCGGCCGUAACUAUAACGGUCCUAAGGUAGCGAAAUUCCUUGUCGGGUAAGUUCCGACCUGCACGAAUGGCGUAAUGAUGGCCAGGCUGUCUCCACCCGAGACUCAGUGAAAUUGAACUCGCUGUGAAGAUGCAGUGUACCCGCGGCAAGACGNGAGAGAACUCGGGUGAAGGAACUAGGCAAAAUGGUGCCGUAACUUCGGGAGAAGGCACGCUGAUAUGUAGGUGAAGUCCCUCGCGGANCCGUAAUCCGGGUAGCGGACAGUGUCUGGUGGGUAGUUUGACUGGGGCGGUCUCCUCCUAAAGAGUAACGGAGGAGCACGAAGGUUGGCUAAUCCUGGUCGGACAUCAGGAGGUUAGUGCAAUGGCAUAAGCCAGCUUGACUGCGAGCGUGACGGCGCGAGCAGGUGCGAAAGCAGGUCAUAGUGAUCCGGUGGUUCUGAAUGGAAGGGCCAUCGCUCAACGGAUAAAAGGUACUCCGGGGAUAACAGGCUGAUACCGCCCAAGAGUUCAUAUCGACGGCGGUGUUUGGCACCUCGAUGUCGGCUCAUCACAUCCUGGGGCUGAAGUAGGUCCCAAGGGUAUGGCUGUUCGCCAUUUAAAGUGGUACGCGAGCUGGGUUUAGAACGUCGUGAGACAGUUCGGUCCCUAUCUGCCGUGGGCGCUGGAGAACUGAGGGGGGCUGCUCCUAGUACGAGAGGACCGGAGUGGACGCAUCACUGGUGUUCGGGUUGUCAUGCCAAUGGCACUGCCCGGUAGCUAAAUGCGGAAGAGAUAAGUGCUGAAAGCAUCUAAGCACGAAACUUGCCCCGAGAUGAGUUCUCCCUGACUCCUUGA